rnacentral:rRNA from 1 species
CAAUAGCGUAUAUUAAAGUUGUUGCAGUUAAAAGGCUCGUAGUUGAAUUUCUGGGCGGCCCGCCGGUCUUCCAUGUGUUGUACUGGGCGGCGCCGGCCAUCCUUGUGGAGAGGGCUCGCAUUUGGUUGCGUGUCGGAUCUGCAUCAUUUACUGUGAAAAAAUUAGAGUGUUUAAAGCAGGCUGUCGCUUGAAUACAUUAGCAUGGAAUAAUAAGAUAGGACUUCGGUCUAUUUUGUUGGUUGCGAACCGAGGUAAUGAUUAAUAGGGAUAGUUGGGGGUAUUCAUAUUUAAUUGUCAGAGGUGAAAUUCUUGGAUUUAUGAAAGAUGAACAACUGCGAAAGCAUUUACCAAGGAUGUUUUCAUUAA